UACAGAGGGGGCGAGCGUUGUUCGGAAUUACUGGGCGUAAAGGGCGCGUAGGCGGCCUUCUAAGUCGAACGUGAAAUCCCCGGGCUCAGCCCGGGAACUGCGUCCGAUACUGGGAGGCUUGAAUCCGGGAGAGGGAUGUGGAAUUCCAGGUGUAGCGGUGAAAUGCGUAGAUAUCUGGAGGAACACCGGUGGCGAAGGCGGCAUCCUGGACCGGUAUUGACGCUGAGGCGCGAAAGCCAGGGGAGCAAACGGG
rnacentral:rRNA from 1 species